GUGAGAGAAAUGAAUGAGAAGCACAAGGAGAGAGGUCUUUUCAGUCUGUGGACAAGCAAACACGGAGGCUGCGUGACAAAUGCUGCUUUAUUUAAAUUUGAAUGCUGCAUCUUGGGACCUGAUCUGAAAUCUCAGAUGGCAGGUGCUCCACCCUAAGGAUGUUCAGUGAAAGAGGCUGCUUUUCUCUCUGUCGGCCUGAUGUACAGAUCCAAUGCAAAUAUGAUGGGAUAACUGAAUGCAAAAUUUGGAAAAUGAUAAACCACACCAGUGAAAGCUGUUCCUGUUUUUAAAUCCAAGAGGAACUGAGCAAGAGGUUACAGAGAGGUUGAGCUUCAGUGCAGCCAAGGGAAGGAAAUGGAAACGCUAAUCCAGCAGCCCUGCUUGAACCUCAGAGACGCACCCUCCUCAUAUUAGUGAAUCGGGUUCUCGCUCAGAGGGUGGCAGAUUGAUGUAUCCUUUUCUGCAAGUGAAACCACCGCACUGCAACUAAGCUGAAGGACAGAUUACAACAUACUUUACACUUAUAUUUAAGAUGCAGUACUGUUUUGGUCCAUUUUUGUGGCUACUAUAGCCCUGGGACAAGGCGUUAAUUGUUCCGGAGGAACGAAUCAACAUGUGAUUUUUUUGCCUU